rnacentral:rRNA from 1 species
CCUACGGGAGGCAGCAGUGGGGAAUAUUGGACAAUGGGCGAAAGCCUGAUCCAGCCAUGCCGCGUGUGUGAAGAAGGUCUUCGGAUUGUAAAGCACUUUAAGUUGGGAGGAAGGGCAGUAAGUUAAUACCUUGCUGUUUUGACGUUACCAACAGAAUAAGCACCGGCUAACUUCGUGCCAGCAGCCGCGGUAAUACGAAGGGUGCAAGCGUUAAUCGGAAUUACUGGGCGUAAAGCGCGCGUAGGUGGUUCGUUAAGUUGGAUGUGAAAGCCCCGGGCUCAACCUGGGAACUGCAUCCAAAACUGGCGAGCUAGAGUAUGGCAGAGGGUGGUGGAAUUUCCUGUGUAGCGGUGAAAUGCGUAGAUAUAGGAAGGAACACCAGUGGCGAAGGCGACCACCUGGGCUAAUACUGACGCUGAGGAGCGAAAGCGUGGGGAGCAAACAGGAUUAGAUACCCUGG